rnacentral:rRNA from 1 species
UCUUUUCCUUUUUUGCCCGCCGCCGCGGUAAUACGGAAGGUCCGGGCGUUAUCCGGAUUUAUUGGGUUUAAAGGGAGCGUAGGCCGUCUUAUAAGCGUGUUGUGAAAUGUCGGGGCUCAACCUGGGCAUUGCAGCGCGAACUGUGAGACUUGAGUGCGCAGGAAGUAGGCGGAAUUCGUCGUGUAGCGGUGAAAUGCUUAGAUAUGACGAAGAACUCCGAUUGCGAAGGCAGCCUGCUGUAGCGCAACUGACGCUGAAGCUCGAAAGCGUGGGUAUCGAACAGG